UUUAUCGGUGUAAGAAGGGCUCGCGUCUGAUUAGCUAGUUGGAAGGGUAAAGGCCUACCAAGGCGACGAUCAGUAGCCGGUCUGAGAGGAUGAACGGGCCACAUUGGAACUGAGACACGGUCCAAACUCCUACCGGAGGCAGCAGUGGGGAAUAUUGCACAAUGGGGGGAACCCUGAUGCAGCGACGCCGCGUGAGCG
rnacentral:rRNA from 1 species